UCUCGAUUCAUUGUCCAUAAUCUUAGAGACAGAAAUAUCAAAAUGAGGCUGAUGUUAACUCCUUGUAUGAAACAUGUGUUCCAGUAACCACGCAAUUAAAUUCGAUAAAAAAAGAUCUAAAGGAAGAGGAAAAACUAUCUCUUCUCAUUUAUCUUCUUGAAUUAAUAUUUUUCUAGAAUUUAUACCAAAAGUGAUUUCUCUUUUGCCACAAAUUUUAUGGGCAUCUAAAACAAACUCCAAAAAUCAUUAAAAAAGAAGAUGAAUAAAUUGAACAUAGGCAGCAGCCUUAAACUAAAAUGGUUAACUUAGUUACAUAGUUGGGAUCCCUUCUUAUAAUUCAUUCAUCAGGCAAAAAACCAGAGCCAUACUUAUUUACAAGAAAGAAAUUGAGAAGCUGAAUUCUAC
rnacentral:misc_RNA from 1 species